rnacentral:rRNA from 1 species
CCUACGGGAGGCAGCAGUGAGGAAUAUUGGUCAAUGGGCUUACGCCUGAACCAGCCAAGUCGCGUGAGGGAAGACUGCCCUAUGGGUUGUAAACUGCUUUUGUACGAGGGUAAACGCAGAUACGCGUAUCUGUCUGAAAGUAUCGUACGAAUAAGGAUCGGCUAACUCCGUGCCAGCAGCCGCGGUAAUACGGAGGAUUCAAGCGUUAUCCGGAUUUAUUGGGUUUAAAGGGUGCGUAGGCGGUCUGAUAAGUUAGAGGUGAAAUUCCGGGGCUCAACUUCGGAAUUGCCUCUGAUACGGUUCGGCUAGAGAGUAGUGGCGGUAGGCGGAAUGGGUGGUGUAGCGGUGAAAUGCUUAGAGAUCAUACAGAACACCGAUUGCGAAGGCAGCUUACCAAGCUACUUCUGACGCUGAGGCACGAAAGCGUGGGGAGCAAACAGGAUUAGAUACCCCGGUAGUC